rnacentral:misc_RNA from 1 species
ACAAGCCGUAUGCCCGAAUUGGGCUCGUACGGAUCUGUGCGGGGGCGCGGGGUAACUCGCGUCCCUACCGCGAA